UUGAAGCUAUAGCACAGGCAGAAGCUAAAGAAACCUCAAAUAAUUCGCCUUUCUCUUUUUCAUUUAAAGAAAAGCCUGAUAAUAGCUUUUUUGGUCAGACGUCUUUUGGUGGCACUAAUUCUAAACCUGUUUUUGGAACAGGCGUGAAGUUUGGAUUUGGUUUUAAUGCUCAAACUGCACAGCCUGAAGAUAAUGAUGUUCAAAUAGUGUUUGAAGCUCUUUCAAGUCCA